rnacentral:hammerhead_ribozyme from 1 species
GUACCUCUGAGGAGUCCUAAACUAGGACGAAACAGCUGUCCAGUAC